rnacentral:rRNA from 1 species
UACGAAGGGGGGCUAGCGUUGCUCGGAAUCACUGGGCGUAAAGCGCACGUAGGCGGAUUGUUAAGUCAGGGGUGAAAUCCUGGAGCUCAACUCCAGAACUGCCUUUGAUACUGCGGUGCUUGAGGACUGGAGAGGAGACUGGAAUUCACGGUGUAGCAGUGAAAUGCGUUAGAUAUCGUGAGGAAGACCAGUGGCGAAGGCGGGUCGUCGUGGACAGUUCCUGACACUGAGGCACGAGCCAGGGGAGCAAACGG